GCUCAAGUAGCUUACAACUUAAAGCAUUGUUCUUGUAAACCAAAGCCGGACUUGAUCCCUAGAGCA
rnacentral:tRNA from 1 species